rnacentral:rRNA from 1 species
AACGAACGCUGGCGGCGUGCUUAACACAUGCAAGUCGAACGAGGACGGGGUCUUCGGACUCCUAGUAAAGUGGCGCACGGGUGAGUAACACGUGGGUAAUCUGCCCUCAGGUCCGGGAUAACGAAGGGAAACCAUCGCUAAUACCGGGUAAGACCACGAUUCUGCGGAGUCGAGGUAAAAGGUGGCCUCUGCUUGCAAGCUUCCACCUGGGGAUGAGCCCGCGGCCCAUUAGCUAGUUGGUAGGGUAACGGCCUACCAAGGCGACGAUGGGUAGCUGGUCUGAGAGGACGAUCAGCCACACUGGGACUGAGACACGGCCCAGACUCCUACGGGAGGCAGCAGUGGGGAAUAUUGCGCAAUGGGCGAAAGCCUGACGCAGCAACGCCGCGUGUGUGAUGAAGGCCCUCGGGUCGUAAAACACUGUCAGGAGGAAGAAGGCUCCGUCGAGUAACUGCGGCGGAGCUGACGGUACCUCCGGAGGAAGCACCGGCUAACUACGUGCCAGCAGCCG